AUACGAGGGGUGCAAGCGUUAAUCGGAAUUACUGGGCGUAAAGCGUUCGUAGGCGGUUUGUUAAGCAAGAUGUGAAAGCCCAGGGCUCAACCUUGGAACUGCAUUUUGAACUGGCAAACUAGAGUACUGUAGAGGGUGGUGGAAUUUCCAGUGUAGCGGUGAAAUGCGUAGAGAUUGGAAGGAACAUCAGUGGCGAAGGCGGCCACCUGGACAGAUACUGACGCUGAGGAACGAAGGCGUGGGGAGCGAACAGGAUUAGAAACCCUAGUAGUCC
rnacentral:rRNA from 1 species